UACGUAGGUGGCAAUCGUUGUCCGGAAUUAUUGGGCGUAAAGCGCGCGCAGGCGGUCCUUUAAGUCUGAUGUGAAAGCCCACGGCUCAACCGUGGAGGGUCAUUGGAAACUGGGGGACUUGAGUACAGAAGAGAAGAGUGGAAUUCCACGUGUAGCGGUGAAAUGCGUAGAGAUGUGGAGGAACACCAGUGGCGAAGGCGACUCUUUGGUCUGUAACUGACGCUGAGGCGCGAAAGCGUGGGGAGCAAACAGG
rnacentral:rRNA from 1 species